CUGUGGCCAAGUGGUAAGGCUCUGGACUCUGACUCCAGCAUCCAUAGGUUCGAAUCCUAUCAG
rnacentral:tRNA from 1 species